rnacentral:miRNA from 1 species
GUAAUUGCAGUUUUUGCCAUUGAAAGUAAUGGUAAAAACUGCAAUUACUUUUGUACCAACCUA